rnacentral:rRNA from 1 species
UACGGAGGGAGCUAGCGUUGUUCGGAAUUACUGGGCGUAAAGCGCACGUAGGCGGCUUUGUAAGUUAGAGGUGAAAGCCUGGGGCUCAACCCCAGAAUUGCCUUUAAAACUGCAUCGCUUGAAUCCAGGAGAGGUGAGUGGAAUUCCGAGUGUAGAGGUGAAAUUCGUAGAUAUUCGGAAGAACACCAGUGGCGAAGGCGGCUCACUGGACUGGUAUUGACGCUGAGGUGCGAAAGCGUGGGGAGCAAACAGG